rnacentral:lncRNA from 1 species
UCUUCGAUCUCUGUUUUUUAUUUCUAUUUCAGCAACUUAGGCUUUUAAGCCUAUGCAAUGUCCUACACUGUAUCGCAGACAUGCUCCACACGGUCUGAACCUUGUCGCACUGGGCUGCGUAGGCGAGGCUCAGCUGAGCGGGUGCAGCACUGAUUGGGAAAACUGGCUGCAGCUCGCUCGAAUGUGGAUCCCUGAUAUGUACACAUACAAUUGGCAACCGCUACACCCUCACUAGCAGCCGCCGAGCUGC